GGGAGCAGGAGGGUUGCUGACAGUGUUCGACACUGAGGAAAGUCCCCUCUCCGCAGCGCAGGCGGUCCGGCACAAGCCGGAGGCCCGGGAGGGUCGGCUCUGGAGCAGAAACGAACCAGCAUGGGUGUGUACAGUGAACCCGGAAGGGAGAGGUUGCCCACCGCUGGCUGAGACGAGCAUCCCCGCCGGAGCAAGUCCGAACAGUUCCUUGAGGCGCGCUGAAGAGGAACGGGUAGGACGCACAGUUGAAUGCAACCAGCCAUUCGGUGAACAGAAAGGGGCUUACUCCCUGCUCCC
rnacentral:RNase_P_RNA from 1 species